CACAUGCAGUCGAGCGGUAGAGAGGUGCUUGCACCUCUUGAGAGCGGCGGACGGGUGAGUAAUACCUAGGAAUCUGCCUGGUAGUGGGGGAUAACGUUCGGAAACGGACGCUAAUACCGCAUACGUCCUACGGGAGAAAGCAGGGGACCUUCGGGCCUUGCGCUAUCAGAUGAGCCUAGGUCGGAUUAGCUAGUUGGUGAGGUAAUGGCUCACCAAGGCUACGAUCCGUAACUGGUCUGAGAGGAUGAUCAGUCACACUGGAACUGAGACACGGUCCAGACUCCUACGGGAGGCAGCAGUGGGGAAUAUUGGACAAUGGGCGAAAGCCUGAUCCAGCCAUGCCGCGUGUGUGAAGAAGGUCUUCGGAUUGUAAAGCACUUUAAGUUGGGAGGAAGGGCAUUAACCUAAUACGUUAGUGUUUUGACGUUACCGACAGAAUAAGCACCGGCUAACUCUGUGCCAGCAGCCGCGGUAAUACAGAGGGUGCAAGCGUUAAUCGGAAUUACUGGGCGUAAAGCGCGCGUAGGUGGUUUGUUAAGUUGAAUGUGAAAUCCCCGGGCUCAACCUGGGAACUGCAUCCAAAACUGGCAAGCUAGAGUAUGGUAGAGGGUGGUGGAAUUUCCUGUGUAGCGGUGAAAUGCGUAGAUAUAGGAAGGAACACCAGUGGCGAAGGCGACCACCUGGACUGAUACUGACACUGAGGUGCGAAAGCGUGGGGA
rnacentral:rRNA from 1 species